rnacentral:misc_RNA from 1 species
GAUGAAGAACGUAGCGAAAUGCGAUACGUAAUGUGAAUUGCAGAAUUCAGUGAAUCAUCGAAUCUUUGAACGCACAUUGCACUCUCUGGUAUUCCGGAGAGUAUGCUUGUUUGAGUAUCAGUAAACACCUCAAAUCUCUUGUUUCUUGUGAAUAAGAGAAUUGGACUUGAGCAAUCCCAACUCUUGCAAAAGAGGCGGGUUGCUUGAAAUGCAGGUGCAGCUGGACAUUCUUCUGAGCUAAAAGCAUAUUUAUUUAGUCCCGUAAAACGGAUUAUUACUUUUGCUGCAGCUAACAUAAAGGUUGAAUGGCCAAUAUGGCUGACUGAUGCAGGAUUAACAGAGAAUUUAUUCUUUGUAAACUCGAUCUCAAAUCAAGUAAGACUACCCGCUGAACUUAAGCAUAUCAAUAACGGAGGA